GAGGGUAUAGCUCUGUGGUAGAGCAUGCAUUUAGUGUGCACAAGGUCCUGGGUUCAAUCCCCAGUACCUCCA
rnacentral:tRNA from 1 species